rnacentral:rRNA from 1 species
GACAUGCAGAGAACUUUCCAGAGAUGGAUUGGUGCCUUCGGGAACUCUGACACAGGUGCUGCAUGGCCGUCGUCAGCUCGUGUCGUGAGAUGUUGGGUUAAGUCCCGUAACGAGCGCAACCCCUAUCCCUAGUUGCUAGCAGUUCGGCUGAGAACUCUAGGGAGACUGCCGGUGACAAACCGGAGGAAGGUGGGGAUGACGUCAGGUCAUCAUGGCCCUUACGGCCAGGGCUACACACGUGCUACAAUGGUGCGCACAGAGGGCUGCAAACCCGCGAGGGGGAGCCAAUCUCACAAAACGCAUCGUAGUCCGGAUCGCAGUCUGCAACUCGACUGCGUGAAGUCGGAAUCGCUAGUAAUCGUGAAUCAGAAUGUCACGGUGAAUACGUUCCCGGGCCUUGUACACACCGCCCGUCACACCAUGGGAGUGGAUUGCACCAGAAGUGGUUAGUCUAACCUUCGGGAGGACGAUCACCACGGUGUGGUUCAUGACUGGGGUGAAGUCGUAACAAGGUAACCGUA